GAUGGAGAGAUGGAUGGGGCAGCACAAAGACAUGUGCUUUGGCAGGCAACGAAGAAUGUGUCCGUUCAUUUGUGGUUCCUCAUUUCCCAGGGGAGGCUGCUUGGAGCUCUAUAAAAAGGCCCUGUGUCUCUGAGCUCUUCACUCAUUGACUUGCAUCUCCACCGAGCGCACAAGUUCUGACUGCUGCACAAGCUUCACUGCAUCAAAAUGUCCUGUUGUGGAAGCCACCGCUGCUCCCGCUGUGGCUGCUCCCCCUGCUGCUGCCGCAGGUCCACCUGCUGUUCCCGCUGUGGCUGCUCCCCCUGCUGCUGCCGCAGGACCACCUGCUGUUCCCGCUGUGGCUGCUCCCCCUGCUGCUGCCGCAGGGUUACCUGCUGUUCCCGCUGUGGGCGCUCCCCCUGCUGCUGUGGCCAGUCAUGGUCCUCUUCCCAGCAGUACAAGCGCUGAACACAUUAGAAAUUGCUAACGCGGCUCUGGAUGUAAAUAUUAGCAUGCCAGUCCAGCACCCGGAAACAAAAUCCUUCUUGGUGGUUGCCAUCUCAACACCCGAAAUAUUGAGAUUGACAUAAUCAGAUAUAUAGAUAUAUAUUUAAAAUCCUGCUGGUUGACUUCUUGGGCUUAUCUCACUUAGCUGGAUACCUUGAGCCUCCUUCCUGCCUCCUACAUGAAACUGAAGAUUCUUCUCUUGAAUAUUUUUUGAAAAAUUCUAGUGAAGGAGACUUGGCUUUCUGUUGGACUAGUUGGUUCUCUUAUUUCCCCUUCGGCAUUUGGAUUGUGAUUGUAUCUUCCUAGCUGUGUACUAACUCCCCUAUUAAAUUCUGGAAUCCUG